CCUGUCAAAACAAGGAGGACAAGCCGGAAAAAGCUCUCAAUAAAACUGUGAUUUUCUCAUCUUUUUGCUGAAGAUUCUGGAAAUAUUUGGCGAAAAAGUGGAAGAAAUUGGAGUAGCAUCAGGCUUGUGAAAACAAACUGGAAGGACAUUUUUAUUAUCCUAGCUAGUUCCUGGACAUAAGAUUUGGGUAAGAAGGAGGUUGCAGCAAAGAUUUGCAAAAAGGAGAAUUAAAGUCCAGGAAUAGAUUCCUAAGCAGAAGGAUUUUCUUGCAGCCUGAGAUUGAG